AACGCGAAGAACCUUACCUGGUCUUGACAUCCACAGAACUUUCCAGAGAUGGAUUGGUGCCUUCGGGAACUGUGAGACAGGUGCUGCAUGGCUGUCGUCAGCUCGUGUUGUGAAAUGUUGGGUUAAGUCCCGCAACGAGCGCAACCCUUAUCCUUUGUUGCCAGCGGUCCGGCCGGGAACUCAAAGGAGACUGCCAGUGAUAAACUGGAGGAAGGUGGGGAUGACGUCAAGUCAUCAUGGCCCUUACGAGUAGGGCUACACACGUGCUACAAUGGCAUAUACAAAGAGAAGCGACCUCGCGAGAGCAAGCGGACCUCAUAAAGUAUGUCGUAGUCCGGAUUGGAGUCUGCAACUCGACUCCAUGAAGUCGGAAUCGCUAGUAAUCGUAGAUCAGAAUGCUACGGUGAAUACGUUCCCGGGUCUUGUACACACCG
rnacentral:rRNA from 1 species